AGAACGGACUCGCCAUUUAUGGAUCCCGCAGAGGUCGAUUCGAUGAGAACGGCGAUCGCUCAGCAGGGCUCUUGGUUGGGCCAGCACACAGCCCAGUUAUCCUCCACCAAUCGAGAGAUAGACGAUCUCGCUGCCCGAGUCGCCGACCUCACCGCCUGUCUAGAUCAGGUUUGACGCGAGCAUUCUUCAUCUUCAUCUCCAUCCGAAAGGGAGCCCCAUGUAACAGAUCCUCCACCUUACGACGGAGAUCCAGCCGCUUGCUGGGCUUUCCUAUCUCAGUGCUCGCUCAUCUUCGCUCUCCAGCCCCGCCGCUAUGUCUCUGAACGCACCAAAGUGGCUUACGUCAUCACCCGUUUGGUCGGCAAGGCCCGUGAUUGGGCCACCACUGUUUGGGAUUCUCACGACUCCUGUUGCUGUUCUUUCGAGGAAUUCCGGGGUGAGAUGGAGAAAUUAUUUGACCGUUCUGUCCGCGGCGAUGCUGCUGCCGCCCGCCUGACCCGUUUCACCCAAUCUGGGUUGUCUGUGACAGACUACGCUAUUGAAUUCAAAACUCUUGCUGCCACCUGCCGGUGGAAUGAGGCGGCCCUCCAGGCGCGCUUUGUGGAUGGACUUAUCAAUUGAUGAUAAUCAAAUAAUGAUAAUGAAAAUGAUGAUCACGAUGAAGAAGAGGAAAGCUUUGAGGGUGUGGAAUUUGUUGAUGCCAAAGAUGACUACUUGGAAUACCAGCUACCCAAGCACCAUCGCUGCGCCUGCCAACUCCUCAAUUAAGUAUCCACAGUUGAUGCUUCAAAAGAAGAAGUCAAUCCAUUGUACAAGCGUGUGUCAAGGUCCAGAUUUGCAAAAUGCUCUAAAAAAGUCCAAUAUCAACCACCGCAUUUGAAGUAAUUGGAGACCACUGCAAACUCCAACUCGUAAGGCCUGUUGCUACAAGGUGGAAUUCACUCUUCUCAGGAGUAGAAAGAAUAGUGAGAAUUACAAGAGAACAUGGCGAAGGAGCCCUUGCAGCUGUCUGCAGUGAACUAGAUACACCCAAAUUUACAGAUUUAGUCCAGUUGCAAAGGCACUGGAUGUUCUUCAGGGAGAAACCAAUGUGCAGAUGUGUUGAUUGGUCCCACCAUAACUCUACAAAGGACCAAGCUCCAGCACCUUCAUGUCACCUCCAAGUUCCAUGAACCUUAGAUUACUGAACUUCUAUCAGGCCUUGGCUGAAAAGGCUUUGGCGAGAUGCUUGCUGAUCCAGAGCUGAUAGCCGCAGCCAUUCUAGUUCCCAAAUUUAAGACCUGCUGGACAAGUGAUGAAAAUAUCCUCAAACUUGCCUUGACUACAUCAGAAACCACUUGGACUGUCAGGCCGAGAAUCACAUCAGUGAGGGCUCCCAAUCAUCUGAGGAAGAGGACUUCUUUUCCUCGAAGAAGACCAGUCCCCUUGAAAUGACCCAGCAGUUGGAUGCAUACCUGGGGUGCCCAGGAGACACAGUAGAGGUACCGAAGUCCUUCUCAGCUGCAGUGUGCCAGCUAUCACUUAAGCUUAAUACGUCACUCCCUGUCUCAGCAGCCUGUGAAAGACUGUUUUGUGUUGCAGGGUUGAUCUUCAGGCCAAGAAGAGCAUGCAUUGGCUCAAAGAACUUUAAGAACCAGCUGCUUUUGCGGCUAAACAAAGCCUAUUGGUUACUCUGUUGCAUGUUCUGUGCUUAACUGAUGUUGAUUACCCUGUUGUUGUUUGAGUCCAAUGUG